UACGUAGGGGGGCAAGCGUUGUCCGGAUUUAUUGGGCGUAAAGCGCUCGCAGGCGGCUCGAUGCGUCGUGCGUGAAACACCCCCGGCUCAACUGGGGAGGGUCGUGCGAUACGGUCGGGCUUGAGGCCAGUAGGGGGGAUGCGGAAUUCCGGGUGUAGUGGUGGAAUGCGUAGAGAUCCGGAGGAACACCAGCGGCGAAGGCGGCAUCCUGGACUGGUACUGACGCUCAUGAGCGAAAGCGUGGGGAGCGAGUCCGG
rnacentral:rRNA from 1 species